rnacentral:RNase_P_RNA from 1 species
GCGGAUGGCUGGAUGACCGCGUGGCGGGCGGGCCGCAAGGCCCGGCGGUCGCGAGGAAAGUCCGGACUCCAUGAGGCAAGGGUGCCGGGUAACGCCCGGCCGGGGCAACCCGAGGGAAAGCGCCACAGAGAAGAGACCGCCACGGGUUCGCCCGGGGCAAGGGUGAAACGGCGGGGUAAGAGCCCACCGCGGGACUGGCAACAGGACCGGCAUGGCAAGCCCCACCCGGAGCAAUGCCGAAUAGGGGUUUCGCGCUUUCGUCGGCAACGACGGGGCAGGGUCGCUUCAGCCCAGAGACCCGGGUUGGCAGCCAGACCCCUCCGGUAACGGCGGGGCCAGAGGAAUGGUCAUCCAGGGGAGGCAACUCCCUGGACAGAAUCCGGCUUACAGGCCAUCCGCGCGG